UGUCACGGAAUCCCGCUCCGUGGAGUAUAUCGCGUCCUCGCUAGCGAGUGAAGUUGGCCGCGCGAUUUCCUUCCGCCAUAUUCAUUCGUCACACGUCCGCCCGCAAGACGUCACGGGUCACGGUCGCGGAAGGCAGAGUGUUUACGCUGCCGGUCAAGUCGGCGUCGAUCGUAGCCGUCGCUUUAACGUAUCUCGUCCGCUUGGUUACUCAUCCGCCGCGCCGUCGGUGCCGGGAACGAAGUGCCGGGAAAUUCCGUCACGGAGAUCGAAGCCCUUCGCGCCCUACCAGCUCGCUCGGUUGACGAUUGACGAAGGACAGGUUAAAUUAUAACCUGCAACCGUAACCGGACGCUCGUCGCGUCGCUCGCGAUUGUCUGAAAUUGUCGAACCGGGAAACUACCCGGCAAACUCCCGGUAGUCUCGUUAACACCGUUAGUGCCGUGCAAAGUGUCGAGUAUCGCGCGAUCGCAACCGUCGAUAUUCACGCGAGUGAGUGCUUCGAAAGAGAAUGGAAACGGACAACAACGGCGACGAGCCCGACGAGGAGGAGGAGGACGAGGAGCAGGACGAGGGAGGAGGAGGGGGGCCGGGAGGCAUCGGGCGACGGCGGAGCAGCCGUGGGAUUGACACGGUAUUACAACUCCGCUGCUGCGCAUCGACCGGUGAGAUUUUUUUUUAAUUUUUAUUUCGAGGCAAUAGAUUUGUGAAAAUUAUGAAUGUAAAAUAUAUGUAUGGGAAAUGAAAUUGUUAAGAAAGAACAAAUAAUGAAUUUUUAAUUAGUAUUUACAUCUAAAUUCAAAAUGAUAAAUAUUUGUGCAGCAAUAUUCUGUAUUAUUUUAUGUUUUUUGAAAUAUCUGAUAUAACAUUCACUUCUACAAUUAUUAUAAAGAAAACAAAUUUAAAAAGAGUUAAAAAUAUUUCAUGUGAAUUCAUCAUAUAAUCUGUUGCCUUGAAAUAGAUUGACUCGAAUAGAGUCGUGAAAAUAUUUUUGUGAUUUAUAAUUGUCUGUUGAGAUAUUUUUUUUAUUAUGUACGCAUAUACAAGAACACACAUACACAUGUAUUGAGGAGAAUAUUAUAAAGGAAAUAUCCCGAAAAGAGGAAAAUUAAUUUUAGGUUUCAUUCAAUUUAUUAGGAACUGUAAUAGGAAUAUGAAGUAGACGAAUUGAAAAAAAAAGAUGAAAGAAGAGAAUAAUGUUUCCGAUAAAAUUUUUACGUUAAUUUUCUAAGCUGCAAACAAAUGUCAAGAUGGAAUCUGUUGCAGAAAUAAUGCGAUAUAUGCGUCUCGUGUAUGAUGGGUACAUAUGAGAAAAUAUAUUUCGCAGCAAAGUGUCGCAGCGAAGACACCUUAUGCAUAUUUCAUGACACGAGUGCAACUGAUUGAGGAUGGCGUAUUCUCGCUUUUCACGAUAAAACUGUGUAGGAUCGCCAAUUAUCCUUUCAUUUGAUAAAAACGUUACCUUGAUAUAUUUCUCAAUUAUAUGUUUAUUAAGCGCGUUAGUUUUUAAAUCGAAAAUAGAUGAAGAUGUCUUAUUAAAUAACGUUUGUUUAUAUCGCCAUUUAUUGUUAAUAUACACUUCUUGCAAAUCUGUCUUAAUAGAGGAAUCUUUUUUCCUUUAAUUAUAAUUAUUUUCCACGAAUAUACACUUAAAUCCUUUUCUGGAUUAUUCUUUCUUUUUUUUCGUGUUGUUUCUGCACCUAUUUUUAUUGCAGAAUUUUUCGCGCGAUUUUUUUCGUACACAUAAAAUAAUUUGCGGAGGGUCAACACUUUUUUAUGCUAAUAAUUACUAAAAAUGGAAAAUUUGUUUGUUGUAAUUAAGUUCGUAAGUUUUGAAAUAUUUUCACCACGUAGUUGCAAAUUGCUUGCAUUACGUGAUUUUCGUGAAAAUAUAUUGUAAAAAGCAUAUUUGUGCCAUUUAUCUUUGCAUUAUCGAGAAAAACAAUUCGAUGCAAAAGGCUAUGCUGGUAGGCAAUAAUUUGUAACAGGAGUCAGGAUGUCGAAUUACCACGUCUACUGUCGUAUUUACGAUUUCCAAUAUCCUGCAAUCGAUGAUUACAAGCUACCGCUGUUUUAUAUGUUGCAAAGAGUUAUAUGAGAGAGUUGUAUGAGUAAAAUGAUAUAAAUAUUGCUCGUGGUAGUUAGUACGUAAUGAGUAACAUAAUAACUGCAUGUAACGAUUAGUCAGAUAAUAAUUUCACUCGUUCAGAAUAUAGAAAUAUUACUAAUCAAACUAAAAUAUUGAUAUUUUCAAGAAAGGAUAAAUGUUUUACAAAACAUUCAUAUAUCUCAACAUAUAUUUUCUUUUGUAACAAAUUAAUUUAUUAAUACUUAGCGCUUAUAAAUUUCUUUAAUUCUCAAUUUGGAAUGUUUAGAAGAAUAUUUUCAAUAAGUAUCGUAAUUAAACUCUCUGUAAAUUCAGGUUACUCGUGAAAUUCACGUGAAUUUCAUUUGCUAGACAUUCGGUGAGAUCAAACAACUCGGUGAAAUGAACUUGCCAUAGACUUAAAGCAGUCUUAAUUGGGAACAAGUGUGUCACACUGAAAUGUACUGAAAUGUAAAUUAAAUAUAUGAAGUUUUCAUAUAGCAAUUUAGACAGAAAAGGAAGAAAAAGAAGGGGAGAGAGAGAGGGGGAACGAGAGAGACUGCCAUAUCUCAUAAAGUCAGAAUAUUGU
rnacentral:lncRNA from 1 species